CCACAGGUCUGAAAGCAGCAUCAGUGUGGGCUCCACGUGGAACAUGAGACUAAGACAUGUUCUCAUGUGGACAGUUUUGUGUCAUGGCUGGACGUCUUUGUUUAUCAGCAGCAGCAGCCGUCCACUGUCUGCGUCCAUGACGAUAAAGAUGGACACCAGAGACCGGCUUUCAGAGUUUGAAGCAGCAUCAGGACAUGCAGUAAAAUCCAUUCAGUGGUAUUAGGUGAUUAAGCAAACGAGGCGAGUACACGAGAGGAUGUGACCUAAAUAUGGAGAAUACCGAUGAGCUUAAGAAGACACUCGACACCUCACGUACAAAGAGAGCGAGGACUGUAAGAGCCGCAGGAGCAGCGGGAGGAGCACACUCACUCAAAAUGUGUUCAGCUGAUCGUCGUCUGACAAACAGCAGCGAGGAACUUGUGUGGAUUUAACCCUGUGACUUCAUUGUCAUCAUUGUUUACUUUGCGAGUCCUGCUCCUUUCAGCGUGUCCACCAGGCUAUAAAUAAACCUGAAACUCUGAGACUGAGCGCUGUGACAUCAUCAAACAGCAGCCAAUCAGGAAGGAGGAGGAUUCAAACAUCCACACACACCUUCUUCAUCCGUCCAUCACUCAGGUCACCUGUGUUGUCUAUAUUUAUUUGUUCUUGGAGGAAGACGAGAGGCGGCUCCAGCGGCAGCAAAACCGGUGACGGCUCAUUUUUUUCAGGCAGGGAGAGCGCAGUGGGGAGGUAUGUCACUACACCAGAGAAUUAUUGCUGGUUGGAGAAGCCAGUGGUGCUCCCUGGCAGGAUCAGCUGUCUGUCCUGGAGGAGGGUGUAGUGACCAUCAUUACCUUUGGAGGUAACAUGGCAGCCGCCAAUUGUCAGCUCUGCAAACCCUGAUGGACGAUGUGGUGGACAGUGGAGACAGGCACCCCCCACCCCCAGAUGAUGUCCCACUCACAGCCAGAGGACUCCAAGGUCUUCAACGUGGCAUCAUCCAGUCCAGCACCACCACCAGAGACUCCUGCUCAGCCAAACAUUUAUAUAUAUAUGUUCUUUGUAAAUAGUAUUUUCUGCUGAUCUUUUAUAAAUAAUAAAUUGUAAAUUUUCAUAAUGCCCA
rnacentral:lncRNA from 1 species